AGGGCAAUGUUUCAUAGACUGGAAAUGUCUCUGCUAAGAAGAGUUCUGUCUUUCCUGAGCGGCUUUAUCUGACAGCUCACUGAGGUGCACAUUCUGAGUAGGAUCAACACCAGAAGGGUUGUUGUCAAGUGAGCAGCUCUUACUAGUGGUCUCUAGGCCUUACCUAAACAGGAAACUCUUGAAUCCUAGAUUUUCCCCAUUAUAAGGACUCACCAUCCUCUGGCACAUUCCUUCCUACUCAGGAGAUCUUCUAGAAUAGAGCUCUCAGCUUCCUCACUGCCUAGCCAUGCUGUUAGUGGUCAUUCUACUGCUUGGAAUGUUCUUCACACUGAGAGGAACCAGAGCCCAGUCGGUGACUCAGCUUGAUGGCCACAUCAUUGUCUCUGAAAGAGACCCUCUGGAACUGAAGUGCAACUAUUCCUAUAGUGGAAUUCCUUCUCUCUUCUGGUAUGUCCAAUACCCCAGCCAAAGCCUUGAGCUUCUCCUCAAGGACCUAUCAGGGGCCACCCAGGUUAAAGGCAUCAAAGGUUUUGAGGCUGAAUUUAAGAAGAGCGAAACCUCCUUCUACCUGAGGAAGCCAUCAGCCCAUGUGAGCGAUGCUGCUGAGUACUUCUGUGCUGUGAGUGACAUAGUGCCUGGGACUGCAGGAGGAGCUGAACACAAACUUCCAGAGACACUGAGGUCUUCAGCAACUCAAGGGCACAGCCUGACCUGUUUGUGGCAAGCUCUCUUUUGAUGAAAGUGAGAAAGGUGGAAGAAUAAAGCCAUGAGGAGUGCUUGACUCCAGGGAAGAAACAGAGACUUCAACACGUUCCUUCUUUUACUACUGGGUUACAUCAGACAAGACCUAGAAGAGACAGACUUGUAUGACUAUUCUCCUUCUGCUUGGAAAUACUGCAUUGAAGAGGGUCAGGAUUUUAAAUUAGUGUGACCAGUAAUGAACUCCUGAUCUUUCUCCUUCUCACUGCCAACAUGUUGCUUCUAUUACCUUUUGUUAUUCAAUUGACAGCAUCUCAUUCUUUCAGAAUCUCUGCCCAUAGCCUCAGAGUUAUCUUUGACUCUUAUUUUUUCUUUCACUAUUCACGUCAAAUCCAUCAAGAAAUUCAGUUGGUCCUAACUAAAAGAUUGACCUAAAGUUUGACCACUGCUAUCUCUUUGGUCAAGCCACCCUCAUCUCAAUGAAUUACUGUAAUAGCCUUCUAAAUGGUUUCCCUGCUUGUCCUCCUACAGAACAUUCUUAAUACAGCAGCCAAUGAGAGCUUUCAAAUAUAGAUAGGUCACUCAUCUGCUCGAAUCCUUGCAAUAGCUUCCCAUUUCUCUUAGAGUAACAUCAGAGUACUUACAGUGAUCUGUAAGAAUGCAUGAUCUAUCUCUUGUUACGUUUUAAAAACACCAACAGAAAAAUAACGUUGGCCACCCCAUAUUCUAUACCAGUAAAAAUAUCACAAAGAAAUUAUAGUAAAAUAAAGACAUUCUCAAAUGGAAAACUGAGAGAAUUCAUUGUGAGCAGACCUGCUAUAAAGAAGUCCUAAAGGAAGUUAUUCAGGCUGAAGGGAAAGGAUACCAGAGGAAAAUCUGUAACUUCAAAUACAAAGGAAGUAC